rnacentral:rRNA from 1 species
AAGGUGAGGUAUAUGGGCUGACGCCUGCCCGGUGCUGGAAGGUUAAGGGGAGAGCUUAGCGCAAGCGAAGGUUUGAACUUAAGCCCCAGUAAACGGCGGCCGUAACUAUAACGGUCCUAAGGUAGCGAAAUUCCUUGUCGGGUAAGUUCCGACCCGCACGAAAGGCGUAAUGAUUUGGGCACUGUCUCAACAACACACCCGGUGAAAUUGAAAUACCAGUGAAGAUGCUGGUUACCCGCGCCAGGACGGAAAGACCCCAUGGAGCUUUACUCCAGCCUGAUACUGGGAUUCGGUAUUGCAUGUACAGGAUAGGUGGGAGGCUAAGAACUUAUGGCGCCAGCCGUAAGGGAGCCGGUGUUGGGAUACCACCCCUGCAGUACUGGGUUUCUAACCUGCGCCCGUGACCCGGGCGGGGGACAAUGUCAGGCGGGGAGUUUGACUGGGGCGGUCGCCUCCGAAAGGGUAUCGGAGGCGCUCAAAGGUCUCCUCAGGAUGGUUGGAAACCAUCCAGAGAGUGCAAAGGCAGAAGGAGGCUUGACUGCGACACCGACGGGUGGAGCAGGUACGAAAGUAGGACUUAGUGAUCCGGUGGCAUAACGUGGGAUUGCCAUCGCUCAACGGAUAAAAGCUACCCUGGGGAUAACAGGCUUAUCACUCCCAAGAGUUCACAUCGACGGAGUGGUUUGGCACCUCGAUGUCGGCUCAUCGCAUCCUGGAGCUGGAGCAGGUUCCAAGGGUUGGGCUGUUCGCCCAUUAAAGCGGUACGCGAGCUGGGUUCAGAACGUCGUGAGACAGUUCGGUCCCUAUCCGGCGCGGGCGCAGGAUAUCUGAGAGGAGCUGUCCUUAGUACGAGAGGACCGGGAUGGACCGUCCGCUGGUGGACCGGUUGUCAUGCCAAUGGCACGGCCGGGUAGCCAAGACGGGAAGGGAUAAACGCUGAAGGCAUCUAAGCGUGAAGCCCCCCUCAAGAUGAGAUAUCCAGACUCGAAAGAGUGAGAGACCCCUUAGAGACGAUGAGGUAGAUAGGGCAGAGAUGGAAGCACAGCGAUGUGUGGAGUUGACUGUUACUAAUCGGUCGAAAGCUUGACCUU